rnacentral:rRNA from 1 species
UACGUAGGGGGCAAGCGUUGUCCGGAAUCAUUGGGCGUAAAGCGCGCGUAGGCGGCCCGGUAAGUCCGCUCUGAAAGUCCAGGGCUUAACCCUGGAAAGCGGGUGGAUACUGCCGGGCUUGAAUCCGGAAGAGGCGAGUGGAAUUCCUGGUGUAGCGGUGGAAUGCGCAGAUAUCAGGAGGAACACCAAUAGCGAAGGCAGCUCGCUGGGACGUUACUGACACUGAGGCGCGAAAGCGUGGGGAGCGAACAGG